GAUGAAGAACGCAGCGAAAUGCGAUACGUAAUGUGAAUUGCAGAAUUCAGUGAAUCAUCGAGUCUUUGAACGCACAUUGCGCCCCCUGGUAUUCCGGGGGGCAUGCCUGUCCGAGCGUCAUUGCUGCCCUCAAGCACGGCUUGUGUGUUGGGCCUCCGUCCUCCUCCCGGGGGACGGGCCCGAAAGGCAGCGGCGGCACCGCGUCCGGUCCUCGAGCGUAUGGGGCUUCGUCACCCGCUCUUGUAGGCCCGGCCGGCGCUUGCCGACACAUCAAUCUUUUUUCCAGGUUGACCUCGGAUCAGGUAGGGAUCCCCGCUGAACUUAAGCAUAUCAAUAAGCGGAGGA
rnacentral:misc_RNA from 1 species